UGGCGGACGGGUGAGUAACGCGUGAGGAACCUGCCUUUCAGUGGGGGACAACAGUUGGAAACGACUGCUAAUACCGCAUAAUGUAUUCUGACCGCAUGAUCGGAAUACCAAAGAUUUAUUGCUGAAAGAUGGCCUCGCGUCUGAUUAGAUAGUUGGUGAGGUAACGGCUCACCAAGUCGACGAUCAGUAGCCGGACUGAGAGGUUGAACGGCCACAUUGGGACUGAGAUACGGCCCAGACUCCUACGGGAGGCAGCAGUGGGGAAUAUUGGGCAAUGGGGGAAACCCUGACCCAGCAACGCCGCGUGAAGGAAGAAGGCUUUCGGGUUGUAAACUUCUUUUACCAGGGACGAAGGACGUGACGGUACCUGGAGAAAAAGCCACGGCUAACUACGUGUCAGCCGCCGCGG
rnacentral:rRNA from 1 species